rnacentral:rRNA from 1 species
GAUCAUGGCUCAGGAUGAACGCUGGCGGCGUGCCUAAUACAUGCAAGCCGAACGCUUCACUUCGGUGAAGAGUGGCGAACGGGUGAGUAAUACAUAAGUGACCUGGCAUCUACAGGGGGAUAACUGAUGGAAACGUCAGCUAAGACCGCAUAGGUGUAGAGAUCGCAUGAACUCUAUAUGAAAAGUGCUACGGGACUGGUAGAUGAUGGACUUAUGGCG